rnacentral:rRNA from 1 species
AUUGAACGCUGGCGGCAUGCUUUACACAUGCAAGUCGAACGGUAACAGGCCUUCGGGUGCUGACGAGUGGCGAACGGGUGAGUAAUGCAUCGGAACGUACCCAGAGGUGGGGGAUAACGCAGCGAAAGCUGUGCUAAUACCGCAUGUGAUCUGAGGAUGAAAGCGGGGGACCGAGCAGCAAUGUUUGGCCUCGCGCCUUUGGAGCGGCCGAUGUCGGAUUAGCUAGUUGGUGGGGUAAAGGCCUACCAAGGCGACGAUCCGUAGCUGGUCUGAGAGGACGACCAGCCACACUGGGACUGAGACACGGCCCAGACUCCUACGGGAGGCAGCAGUGGGGAAUUUUGGACAAUGGGCGCAAGCCUGAUCCAGCAAUGCCGCGUGCGGGAAGAAGGCCUUCGGGUUGUAAAACGCUCUUGGCAGGAACGAAACGGUGUCCGCUAAUACCGGGCGCUAAUGACGGUACCUGCAGAAUAAGCACCGGCUAACUACGUG